AUACGGAGGAUCCGAGCGUUAUCCGGAUUUAUUAGGUUUAAAGGGUGCGCAGGCGGUACUGUAAGUCACCGGUGAAAUCCUACAGCUUAACUGUAGAACUGCCGGUGAUACUGCGAUUCUUGAGUAUAGUUGAGGUAGGCGGAAUGUGUAGUGUAGCGGUGAAAUGCAUAGAUAUUACACAGAACACCGAUUGCGAAGGCAGCUUACUAAACUAUUACUGACGCUCAUGCACGAAAGCGUGGGGAGCGAACAGGAUUAGAAACCCUAGUAGUCC
rnacentral:rRNA from 1 species